rnacentral:rRNA from 1 species
UGUGUAGGCGGUUGUUUAAGUUUGGUGUGAAAUCUCCUGGCUUAACCGGGAGGGUGCGCCGAAUACUGAAUGACUAGAGUGCGGGAGAGGAAAGUGGAAUUCCUGGUGUAGCGGUGAAAUGCGUAGAUAUCAGGAGGAACACCGGUGGUGUAGACGGCUUUCUAGACCGUAACUGACGCUGAGACACGAAAGCGUGGGUAGCAAACAGGAUUAGAUACCCUGGUAGUCCACGCCCUAAACGAUGCAUAUUUGGUGUGGGCAGUUCAUUCUGUCCGUGCCGGAGCUAACGCGUUAAAUAUGCCGCCUGGGGAGUACAGUCGCAAGGCUGAA